GUCGCUACUACCGAUUGAAUGGCUUAGUGAGAUCUCCGGAUUGGCGUUAGGGAGCCGGCAACGGCACCCUUUGGCUGAGAAGUUGAUCAAACUUGGUCAUUUAGAGGAAGUAAAAGUCGUAACAAGGUUUCU
rnacentral:rRNA from 1 species